UUAUUAUGUGAACACAAUGUUGUUGAGAGAGGAUGGAGAAGAAGGUUGAGAAAAAUGGUUAUGGAAGUUUGUUGCAGGGAUUGCAGAAGAAGCUUGGUUGAAGGCUUUGCAGAACGAAGGGGAUAGAAGGUGAUUAAAAAAAUGGAAUGAGAGAGCCUUCUGAAAUGUGAAGGUUUUUAUUUAUAGCCUUUUCCAAAAUCCUCUUCUCUCCUUCUUCUAUUAUGAAUUCAGUUAGAAGUUGUUAUUUGGGAUGAGAAUUGGUUAGAGUUUUGUUAGGCUUGUAUUAGAUUUUUGUUAGAGCUUUUUGGAUAAGUUUUCUGUUAGUGAUGUAUUGUGUCGUUAACUGAGUUUUUUCACCUUUUUGGCUUAUGGUUUUACAAGUUUUGGCGUUGCCGUUUACCGGUUUUGCAGUGUAUUUCAUGUUGCAGCGACUUGCGUUUUGAUUCUAUCUGCAACGCCUUUUGAAUUUGUUGCGUGUUGUAGCUUUUGCUAUGUGUUGGUUGUUCUAGUUGUUGGCAGCUUAUGUUGGUUCAAUGAUGUAGCUUUAGAAUAUGGAGUUUUAUAUUGUUGCUUC
rnacentral:lncRNA from 1 species